rnacentral:rRNA from 1 species
GACGGGGGGGGCAAGCGUUGUUCGGAAUUACUGGGCGUAAAGGGCUCGUAGGCGGCCAACUAAGUCCGACGUGAAAUCCCAAGGCUUAACCUUGGAACUGCGUCGGAUACUGGAUGGCUUGAAUUCGGGAGAGGGAUGCAGAAUUCCAGGUGUAGCGGUGAAAUGCGUAGAUAUCUGGAGGAAUACCGGUGGCGAAGGCGGCAUCCUGGACCGACAUUGACGCUGAUGAGCGAAAGCUAGGGGAGCAAACGGG